rnacentral:lncRNA from 1 species
GUACAAGAUCUACCUUUCUAAGUGGCAAGAGGCAUUGUGGAUUGUUGCUAUGAGAUUUUGUUGACUGACACAGAGUUUCAUUCUGUCACCCAGGCUGGAGUGCAGAUGCAGUGGCAUGAUGAUAGUGCACUACAACUUGGAACUCCUGGGCUCAAGCCAUCUUCCCUCCACUGCCUCCAAGUAGCUGGGGACUACAGGAUAUAUUUGGCAUUAAACUCGGGACAAAAGAAGACACAAACUUUAUCUUGUGGUUUGGGUCCUCCAAUCCUCAUAAAAGUGUGGUUUCACCUGUUACCUCAUAAAGGUGCCAUUGCUGUAUGCACAUCUGAAUCUGUUUACAAUUUGAGAAUAGAGAUUAUUGCCUGCUCCUCCAAGCCCUUCACUGUAGAAUGGAAGCCUGUGAUUUUCCUGGCAUCAUGCAUGACUGAGAAGGUCAGUGUGGCUAAUUCUGAGCUUCAACAUCAGGAAACCCGUAGUUCUUCACACUGAGCCGCCUCCUGCAGCACAGUCAUCCUUGGAUCAAGUUCAGAUGGCUUACGGUUGAGAUACAUGUUGCUAUGGCAGCAGGAAGAAAAUGAUGGAAAAGAAGAAAACAAAAAGCAAGAAAAAGUGAGAAAUCAAAGGACAACAUUUUCAAGGAUGAAGAGUGCUACAUCUAUUCAUUAUACAUUGUAGAUAUAGAUAAUAACAAUAGUAAUAAUGUGGUCAAAUUUUAAUAAAUAAAAAAUUGAGUUAAGCUUAAUCAUACAUAGUGCUUUUAUUGAAAACUAACACCUCAACAAUCACAUCUCUUCAUGUCACACAGUCAUCCAUGUGAAUGGAACAAAUAUCAGUAGCCUGAAGGACAAUACAAUUAUUGCAAAAAUAAUUUGCUUUUUCAGUUAAGGUCCUCACUUAUACAUGGGUUGGUUCUUUUUUAGCUUUGUGCUGAUUUCCUGUAGUCUUCCAUUGCAUUUAGGCACUAACUCAUUUGUCUAUGUUUCAGAAUGCCAGCGUAAAGGUGAAAUAAAGGUAAAACAACAACAAUAACAAAAAGGACAGGAAAGAACAACAACAAAUAAAUGGUGUGGCAAUUCUUAGCUGUUCAGUGUCUGACUCCCCUUUCAGUGUUUGGGGAAUUGCUCACCUUAUGAGUCUCAGUGGGAGACUCAGGCUCUGCUCAUUAUUAAAGUUGAAUACAUCAGGAACUUGCUUUCCCCACCUUGUUUGCAGUUAAGCCCAACACACCCCACCGUGGAGCCACAGAGAUAUGGAGGAUGCACUCUCUGGCAACAGUGGAGGAUGCACUCUCUGGCAGUAGUAGUGGGAACGCCAGUGGUGUGAGCACUGCAUGGCUUCCCGAAACAAGCCCUCUGGUGUGACGAGACAGUUUCUACAUUCUGUAACUCUAUACUGGAUUCUCCACCCAAAGCCACAGCUUGUCUGUCAAGGGCCUUCAUAUGAAAAAGGAAAAGGUGCCCCUGGCAGAUGCAGGCUCUGUCAGCACAUGGUGGCUCUGCCUCUGUCCUUCCUGUGGGCCCCUCAGCUGCCCAUGCUUCUUUUCUUAAAUAGAUUUUCUGCCAAAAUCAGCUAACAUUUGCGUUACUGCUUACAACUAACAACCUUACUGAUACACAUAAUAAGGCUACCACACCUGCCCAGCCAUAUCCAUAAACCUUUCCAUUAUGCUAUGUGCCUUUUAACAUACAGUAUAAUUCUUUUAUAUGGAUACCGCCUUAUUAUCUGGAAUUAUCACAGCACCCAGUGGAUGCCCCAAAACAACACAACUAGCAAAGAUUCAAUAUUCAGUUAGAGUAAAUAAUUCAUUUACUUAUACUUUAAAACAUUUAUAUGCAAUUUUAAAUGACACAACUUCAAGUAUUUAAAUGAGAUAGUUUAAAAGUUAAAUUCCUUCACUAUGUGUGUGAUGGCUACACUAAAACCCCAGACUUCACUACAGCACAAUAUAUGUAUGUAAUAAAUCUGCACUUGUACCCUCUAAAUCUAUAAAAGAUUUUUGUAUUUUAAGGAAAUUUUUAAAAUAAAAUAAAAGUUAAGUAUCUUUUGCCUUGGGGAAGGAGGAAAGAAUAAUAGUUAUCAGCUAGUAUAUGGGGAACUAUUUAAAGUACAUGUAACAAAAAAUGGUUCAUGGGAAGAGUAAACUGGACCACCUGGAGACCCUACUCUCCUGUCCAUUGAGAGACUACAAUCCUCAUGCUUGCUGUGCAUUUUCUCCAAUACCAUCAUGGCCACUGUAGCUGCCACUACUAGUGAAGACACACCAGGAUCCCACUGUAAUCACUGGGCUUAUUUCAAAGACACAGCUGCAAAUUUCACCACCCCAAAUCAACAGAAUAUGCAUUCUUUGCAGUGCGACAUGGCACUUAUUCUAAAAUCAACCACAUAAUUGGAAGUAAAACACUCCUCAGCAAAUGCAAAAGAACGAAAAUCAUAACAAUCUCUCAAAACAUAGGGCAAUCAAAUUAGAACUCAGAAUUAAGAAACUCACUCAAAACCACACAAUUACAUGGAAACUGAACAACCUGCUUCUGAAUGACUACUGGGUAAAUAAUGAAAUUAAGGCAGAAAUAAUGAAGUUCUUUUAAACCAAUGAGAACAAAGAGACAAUGUACCAGAAUCUCUGGGACACAGCUAAAGCAGUGCUAAAAGGGAAAUUUAUAGGAAUGAAUGCCCACAUCAGAAAGGUAGAGAGAUCUCAAAUCAAUACUCUAACACCACAAUUAAAAGAG